rnacentral:tRNA from 1 species
GCCAGUUUGAUGUAGUGGUUUGAGUGUUGGACUAUGACUCUGGAGACCUGGGUUCAAAUCUCAGUUUAGCCA